GUAGAGUAAUACAUAAGUAACCUGCCCUAGACAGGGGGAGUAACUAUUGGAAACGAUAGCUAAGACCGCAUAGGUACGGACACUGCAUGGUGACCGUAUUAAAAGUGCCUCAAAGCACUGGUAGAGGAUGGACUUAUGGCGCAUUAGCUGGUUGGCGGGGUAACGGCCCACCAAGGCGACGAUGCGUAGCCGACCUGAGAGGGUGACCGGCCACACUGGGACUGAGACACGGCCCAGACUCCUACGGGAGGCAGCAUG
rnacentral:rRNA from 1 species